rnacentral:tRNA from 2 species
GCCGAGGUGGUGGAAUCGGUAGACACGCAGGACUUAAAAUCCUGUCGCCUGAAAAAGGCGGUACGGGUUCGAGUCCCGUCCUCGGCA